rnacentral:rRNA from 1 species
AAAAAAUUAUAUACUACAUAUGAUGCAGGCUAGAGUUACGACCAAACACACGCAAAAGAUUGGGGAAAUAGGAUCCGCGACACGUCUCGACCAAAAGCUUCCUUCCUCCGCCUCCACGAGGCUGCUCCUCCACCUGUCCGUGCGGCCCCCCCUCCCCCUCCCAGUGAACUGCGCGGCGACCUCCCCUGCCCAGACCUGAUCCCGCCGCCGCCCAGUCCGGCACGGUAUCCAACGGCCGGCCUGUUCCUCCUCUGCCGCCGAGUUGAGCGCCGCGAGGGCUGAUCUCGCGGAUUUUCGCCUGUUCCCGAGAGGCCAGUUGCGGAUAACUCGAUUAAGUGCUAGUGCUACCAGGAAUCGUGUGGUGUGCUUUAUCUGUCUAGCUUGCCAAUCAUCUGCAUAAAUUUCAAAGUGGGUUUUGCUUUCAGUCUGGAGGCUGAAAGAUAGGUUAACACUCUGCCAUCUGACCUUGUUCAUGCGUGCAUGGUUUGAAUGCUAACCACAAUUGAGUCCUGAAAACGCAGACGCGGUGCACAUGCUUGCCGGCAGUAUGAAUAACGAUAAUGAUAAUGUUAUUGACUUGAUAUCGGAUAGUGGUGAUGAUUUUGAUUCUGACUCUGACGAUCCAACUUCUACAAAUGUCACAUCUGGCGAGAAUGGCGGAGGUCAAUCAGUCUGCUUUCAGGAUGAAGAUUUGUUGAGGAGCACCCCCUCUUCUUCCAGGUCUAAUAUAAAUGAUAAUGGUCAGUACAGAACUCUGCCACCUUCCUUCGCAAAUGGUAUUGAUAUUGAGAAAGCCCGUUAUACACUAGGUUCGGAGGACAGAACUUAUCCACAUUCAAAUUCGGGGCCAAGACACGAUUCUGGAAGGGCCUCUCUCUCGUCCAGUAGACUUGAUAUCACAGUGAGGGAGCGCAAUGGUUUGGCAGUGGAUGCAAAUGGCAAUAACAAGAGGAUUCUUCCUUCAUCUUUUUCCAGUGGAAGCACGUCAAAAUCUACACAUCCAAGUGUUGCAAGUGAGAGCCGUAAACUCCCAUCACGUUUUACCAGUGGAAAUUCACAAAGGUUGGAUGAUAAUAGUAUGGGAACAAAUGAUGGCAAUUGCACUGGGCAGCCUUCAUCUUCAAGGUUCUCAAUCCGAAGCUACUCUGUGAGUAAUGCCCAGAAGGAUACCAUGGAAAAUGACGAUGAUGAUGUCUAUGUAUAUGAUAGUCCUAGUUCACAUAGGAUGCUGCCUGCAUCUUUUGGAGGCCAUAACUCUGCCAGUAACAAUGAACUUGCUAAUGUUAAUGACAUGCAAGCUCGUCCAAACCUAGAAAAUAGGUUUAUGGAUCCUGACGAGAGCGCGGUAUAUCAAGAGGCUCUUCAGAACAUUAGUCUGGAUAAAAGGGAAGAUGAUCUCGAUGAGGGUGUCUUAUCAGUAUCUCUGCUUAAGCACCAGAAAAUGGCAUUAGCUUGGAUGGUUUCGAAGGAGAAUAGUUCACAUUGUGCAGGAGGAAUUCUUGCAGAUGAUCAGGGUCUUGGGAAGACUGUGUCUACAAUUGCCCUUAUACUAAAACAGAAGAGUCAGCAGUCUAAGUUCAUGUGUGCUGAUUCAGAUCCUUUGAAAUCUGAAGCGCUAAACCUUGAUGAAGACGAUGAGGCAGUGACUGUUGUUGAUAAGGAGAAACAGUCUGUGAACGAUGGACCCAAGAAGGAUUUAGACGCUAGUUUAUCAACAGCAGCUAGUACUAGUGAUGUUAAACCAUCUAGUAGUCAUAUGGAUAUUGUUCCAAAUAGAAUUGUUGAAAGCAAAGUUGAACGCAAGAAGACUAAAACAGGCACAUCAUCUGCAUCAUCAACCAUGCGAUCCAUGAUGAGGCCAGCUGCAGGUACUUUAGUAGUAUGCCCUGCUAGUGUUCUUAAGCAGUGGGCUAAUGAAUUGAAUGACAAGGUUAGUCAAAGUGCUAGGUUAUCUGUUUUAGUCUACCAUGGUGGUGCAAGGACCAAAGAUCCAAGUGAGCUGGCAAAAUAUGAUGUCGUUGUCACGACAUACACAAUUGUGGCGAAUGAAGUGCCUAAACAGAAUGCUGAUGAUGACCAAGAUCAAAAGAAUGGGGAAGAAUCUUCUGUUGGUAAUAAAAGAAAACCACCAAGCAAAUCUAAGAAAAGGAAGAAGAAACUUAAGGAUUCAGAUAUUGACCUUGACAGUGGCCCAGUUGCCCGGGUACGGUGGUUUCGGGUGGUUCUUGAUGAAGCUCAGACGAUAAAAAAUUUCCGAACUCAAGUGGCUAAAGGCUGUUGUGGACUAAGAGCAAAAAGGAGAUGGUGCUUAUCAGGAACACCUAUACAAAAUUCAAUCGAUGAGCUCUACAGCUAUUUCCGUUUCUUGAAAUAUGACCCAUAUUCUACAUAUAGCUCAUUUUGUACAAUGAUAAAGCACCCAAUUGCUAGAAAUGCAGUCCAUGGGUAUAAGAAACUACAAACUGUGUUGAGGAUAGUUCUCCUGCGUCGCACAAAAGAAACUACGAUAAAUGGAGAACCGAUCAUAAACUUACCUCCAAAGACAAUUAAGUUGCAAAAGGUGGAUUUCACAAAGGAGGAGCGAGCUUUUUAUUUGACACUGGAAGAACGUUCUCGGCAACAGUUCAAGGAAUAUGCUGCUGCCGGAACAGUCAAACAAAACUAUGCCAAUAUCCUUUUAUUGUUGUUGCGCCUUAGGCAGGCUUGUGAUCAUCCUCUUCUUGUGAAGGGGCAUCAGUCAGUAUUUAAAGGCGAUGGUUCUAUAGAGAUGGCAAAACAACUUUCCAAGGAAAGGGUAAUAGAUUUGCUUGCAAGGCUGGAAGUAUCAGCGCUUUGUGCUGUAUGCCGUGACACACCUGAGGAUGCUGUUGUGGCGAUGUGUGGUCAUAUUUUCUGCUAUCAGUGUAUAUACGAGCGGAUAACAACUGAUGAAAACAUGUGCCCCGUCCCUAAUUGCAGAAACACGUUAAGUACUGAAUCAGUAUUUUCAUCAGGGACAUUAAAGAUUUGUAUCUCCGGCAAGACCAGUACUCAUGCGAUAGCGAGUUCAUCAGCAGACGAUGAGCUAUCUUCUAUCAGUCAAAGCAGUUACAUCUCCUCGAAGAUACAAGCGACCGUCGAUAUACUGAAUUCUAUCAUUAACAUGCAUGCCCUUACAGACAGCGAUACCAUUGAAUCAAAUCCAAACCGAGUAUCCCCUGUGAAAGCCAUUGUCUUCUCGCAGUGGACUGGCAUGCUGGAUUUGCUGGAGUUUUCACUGAACAGCAAUCUUAUACAGUACAGGAGACUAGACGGAACAAUGUCCCUCAAUUCAAGAGAUAAAGCCGUGAAGGAUUUUAACACCGACCCAGAGGUUAGAGUUAUGAUUAUGUCAUUGAAAGCGGGUAAUCUUGGUCUGAACAUGGUUGCUGCUUGCCAUGUAAUACUCCUUGAUCUUUGGUGGAAUCCUUAUGCUGAGGACCAGGCAAUUGAUAGAGCACACAGAAUUGGUCAGACUCGUCCGGUCACUGUCUCUCGUCUAACCAUUACAGAUACGGUGGAAGAUCGUAUUUUAUCUCUGCAGGAGGAAAAGAGAGCGAUGGUCAACUCUGCUUUCGGUGAAGACAAAUCCAGUGCCCACGCUACUCGGCUGACUGUAGAUGAUCUGAGGUAUCUGUUUAGGAUAUGAUUGCGAGGAGAUGAUCCCUUGUUGCGUUGCUAGCUUUGGAAAUCGUCAAAGUGGUGGCAGCAUGUACGUUGCUUGCAAUCUACCUAUGUCUCUCCCUGCCCCGCCGACGAUCCAGUUUUGUCAUGCUCCGAUCGAUCUUACAUGUGACAUCGGAGGGCCAACUAGCUAGCAUGUCUAGUGUAACGUACUUAUGUCCCUGAGAAUUCUUGUGUGCUCUGUUCCCUGUGAUGACAGGAGAGAUCCAUAUGUAUAGUGUGUCAUUGACUCAUUGUACUGUGGCCAUUUACUUUUUCCUUUUCUGCAAUGUUCCCGCGUGCAUUAACAGACAGGUGGAUCAUCCCACUCGUGUU